GUCGUCGAAAGCCCCUCGCUCGCACGCCGCAUCCCUCCCUCCCUCCUCAGCCGCGACAGCACGAAUCGACGAACCCUCUCCCUCUCCAUUGCGUGUGCGUGCUCAUCGCCUCCCGCUCCCCAUCGUUCCCCCGACGCCUCCACCGGCUACCAUGGAUCCAUGGGCGAUGGGACAGUACAAGGGAGGGAAGGACGCCGCCGUCGACCCGUCGCUUAGGUUGGUGGCGCAUGGGUCGGGUCUGGGCAGAAGGCCGGCGCCUGCAGGGGGAAAGCAACGGGGGUUGGUGCAGCGGCAAAUGAGGACGGGGUGGGCCAUGGACGGAGGCUCGCCGGCCGGAGCAGCCGGAGCAACAUGUUCGAUGAAAUGUGUGUGUGGUGACCUUUCUUUUUUUCAUCUCGUUUUGCCUGCUGGUCCGCCUUGGUGUAGUCCUCUGUCUAGCCUGCUUUCUUGGCCUGGUUCUGCUUUCUAGAUCUGCAGGUUCGACGAUCUGCUAGGUUGCUGCAUCUGCAACUCUGUGCUGCUGUUCAAGGUUUGCUUGAUUCUUUUUUACCUACAUGCUUGUUCUUUCUCGCUGCACAGAUGCUUCUCUUUCUCUAAGUACUGAACUCUGCUGUGCUGUCUCUAGCUACAUGAAUUUACUUUUCUUCGUCGGUCUAAUUGUCUAUUGAUGGGUCAUUCAUGUUAUGGUUAUGUGAACUUUAAGAUGUAAUAAUAUAUGGUGUUUAAAUUUUUAUU